rnacentral:hammerhead_ribozyme from 1 species
AUCCAGCUGAUGAGCCCCCGAUAAGACGAAACGCGCGUCUUGGAU